GCAUACUUUGUUGAUCUGGAUGUGAAGCCUCUGGAUAAGAUGACACAUUACUUUAAACUGGACCAGAAGAUCGUCAAUUUCUACACUAAGAGCGGGGAGGUUGGGCGAGUUCCUUGUGAUUCUCAAAAGGGGGUUGGCACCAGUGAUGACACAACGGUUCAGCCACAACAUCGAGGAGCUCCUUCAACUUGAAGCCUCUGGACGGGAAAGGGCACAUGCAUUGGUCCUGUUGUUUCGUCUUGCGCCUGUUGUUGUAACCUUGUAAGUACAGUUCCAUUGUCGAGGAGCUCUUCCCUUCCACCGGGAAAAAAAGAUGCCGCAGAGCGGUCACUGCUGUUUGUUGUCGCUGUUACUGUAGCUUAUGAGUGGUACAUCAUGUAUACCUAGCGGGUGGCUCGUCGCGGCAGAAAACACACCAGGAAUUCGAUACACAGACACCAAGAUGCUUGAACAGACUUUUUUACAGUGGCAACCACAUGUUGCAGUAUCUGCAGCAGAUAUGGGAGCGCAGGUUUGCCUUGUAGGCUACGGUGUAGCCAUUUCACCGGUUCCCUCCACCUGCUAACUGGCUUAUGUACUACUCCCUCCGUCUCAUAUUAGUUGUCGCUCAAAUGAAUUUAUCUAGCAUUGAAAUACACUUAAAUAAAUGUAUCUAGCAUUGGAAUACGUUUAGGUACAUUCAUUUUUGUGACAACUAAUAUGAGACGGAGGGAGUACUGUACAUCUUUUGAGUUGCGGUUGCUUCUCUGGUCUCAGUUGCUUAUUGUUUCUGGACAACAUUGUCGUCUCUCUAUAUAUUGUGUAGCUAGAUUUUCCAUGUAGCACCUGAAUUCUGGAAUGACUGAGCAACCAGACCAGUCAAUAUGUGAAUUAGACCCAAUGACAAUAUAUGGUUUUGUCUCAAAUUAUACCAAUGAACUGGAGCAAGUUCAUGCAGAGGAUCCAAAACCAAUUUUUGACCCCGACGAGUUGUGUGCCCUGGUUAUUUUGUACAGUUUGUACCAUAUCACACACGCACCGGUUACAAGACCAGUUUAUACGGCCCCUUCGGAUACCUUGUAAAGUUGGACCGGUGCAGAGGAAAUUAGCAUGGCCCCUGCACAAGGAUGUCAGCUUUGAUUGAGAAAAGGUCUAUUUUUUGGAAACUUGUGAAUAGGUAUUUUUGCAUCUUUGUCUAAUUCUCAUCGUUUCCUUGAAGAGGUGUUAUAUGAUGAGCCGCGGUCCUUAACGUCGACGUGAGUGCCUUGCCAACGAGCUGAGAGGGUGACCGGGGAGGAGCUCGGUACGACGUGCUCGAGGAUCAGACAGAGGGUUGUCCAUCAUGAGAGACAGGGUGGAGGAGGCGGUGGGCAUUAUGUAGGUGGUGGUUCACAAGGGUGUGCACUGUGCAGGAGGCAAGGUUGGGCUUGGCGCGACACGCCGGCUCCUACCUGUGUGUGUGCCCGUGCUCUGGCAGCACGGCGUGGCAGCUCUGGGCAGAACGGGAGGAGAGUGUUUUUGGUUUUUGAAUUCAGGUUGAUUCCCAACAUAUUUUUGAACAAAUUUCAGAUAUCAAAAUACAAGUGUAUAUGAUCCUCUUGAUUUAUUUUCUGGGUCAAAAGAAAGAAUACGCUCCUCAGAACAAAUUCAGGAUUUUUGUGAAUGGCUCUUUAGGUUUUGGUGGCAUGGGAGGUGGUGCUAAUGUGUGUGUGUGUGUGUGAGAGAGAGAGAGAGAGAGAGAGAGAGAGAAGUGAUCUCACGAAGGUUAGUGGGCUACAAUUAUCUGACUUUAUCGAGCUCCUGUCAGAGGCGAUAUCUAACUCAGGAGCAUUGGAUAAACUUUAUGGCAUCGAAGGGGCGAUUCAUCUGUACUACAACAUCUUCUCUCAGCCUUGUUUGGUCUGCAAAAAGAUCAUCAAUUUCUACACUAAAAGCUGGGAGGUCGGGCGAGCUCCUUGAGAUGCUCCAAAGGGAGGAGGCACCAGUGAUGACACAAAGGUUGAGCCACAAACAUUGAGGAGCUCCUCCAAGCCCCGAGCCCGGCCCAGCCAUCGGGCCUAAAAAUUGGGCCCAAGCCCGGCCCAUCACGCUAAAAGCCCGCCAGGUCUCUUUCUUAAACAACAAAUACGACGGCCCCGGGCCUGGCCCAGCCAUCGGACUCAAAAUCUAGGCCCGGCCCCGGCCCGUGGGCAAGGUCGGGUCGGGCCGUCCAGGCCGGGCUGCCCAUGGCCAGGACAGACCGGAAACGGCAACCAGAGACUGGUCCCUGCUGUUUCUUCUUGCGGCUGUUGUUGUAACCUUGUAAGUACAGCUCCAAUGUCUUUUUUUUUUGUGGGGAGUACAGCUCCAAUGUCAAGGAGCUCUUCCCUUUGGCCUGGAAAAAAGAUGCAGCAGAGGGUAGCUGCUGUUUGUUGCCGCUGUUACUGUAGCUUUAUGACUAGUACAGGAUGUAUACCUACCGGGUGGCUCGUCGCGGCAGAAAA
rnacentral:lncRNA from 1 species